UUUAUCAGGGGGAAUAGCCUUUCGAAAGGAAGAUUAAUACCCCAUAAUAUAUAGAGUGGCAUCACUUUAUAUUGAAAACUGAGGUGGAUAAAGAUGGGCACGCGCAAGAUUAGAUAGUUGGUGAGGUAACGGCUCACCAAGUCGAUGAUCUUUAGGGGGCCUGAGAGGGUGAUCCCCCACACUGGUACUGAGNNNNNNACCAGACUCCUACGGGAGGCAGCAGUGAGGAAUAUUGGACAAUGGGUUAGCGCCUGAUCCAGCCAUCCCGCGCGAAGGACGACGGCCCUAUGGGUUGUAAACUUCUUUUGUACAGGGAUAAACCUAUUUACGUGUAAAUAGCUGAAGGUACUGUACGAAUAAGCACCGGCUAACUCCGUGCCAGCAGCCGCGGUAAUACGGAGGGUGCAAGCGUUAUCCGGAUUUAUUGGGUUUAAAGGGUCCGUAGGCGGAUCUGUAAGUCAGUGGUGAAAUCUCACAGCUUAACUGUGAAACUGCCAUUGAUACUGCAGGUCUUGAGUAAGGUAGAAGUGGCUGGAAUAAGUAGUGUAGCGGUGAAAUGCAUAGAUAUUACUUAGAACACCAAUUGCGAAGGCAGGUCACUAUGUCUUAACUGACGCUGACGGACGAAAGCGUGGGGAGCGAACAGGAUUAGAUACCCUGGUAGUCCACGCUGUAAACGAUGCUAACUCGUUUUUGGGUUUUCGGAUUCAGAGACUAAGCGAAAGUGAUAAGUUAGCCACCUGGGGAGUACGAACGCAAGUUUGAAACUCAAAGGAAUUUGACGGGGCCCGCACAAGCGGUGGAUUAUGUGGUUUAAUUCGAUGAUACGCGAGGAACCUUACCNAGGCUAAAUGGGAAUUGAUCGGU
rnacentral:rRNA from 1 species